ACUCUAAUAGUUUAUAAAAACAUCGGUCUUGUAAACCGAAGACUGAAGAUCAUCACCCUUCUUAGAGUU
rnacentral:tRNA from 1 species